rnacentral:rRNA from 1 species
UACGGAGGGGGCUAGCGUUGUUCGGAAUUACUGGGCGUAAAGCGCGCGUAGGCGGCUUUGUAAGUUAGAGGUGAAAGCCCGGAGCUCAACUCCGGAAUUGCCUUUAAGACUGCAUCGCUAGAAUUGUGGAGAGGUGAGUGGAAUUCCGAGUGUAGAGGUGAAAUUCGUAGAUAUUCGCAAGAACACCAGUGGCGAAGGCGGCUCACUGGCCCGGUACUGACGCUGAGGUGCGAAAGCGUGGGGAGCAAACAGG